rnacentral:lncRNA from 1 species
UGAGGCCAGGGUCGUGUCAGUCUGUGGGUGCAGGGAGGCUGCUCCUGCCUGUCUCCAUCCAGGAGUGACCCUCCCAACACCUCUGUGCCAGCAGGGAUCCCCAAGGCAGCUACCACCUUAACAUCUAGGACCCGGACUGCUUCCUGGUGUGAGAAACUGCCUAGCCACUCCCAGUGUAUUUGCCUUAAAACUGGAGAGAAUCUAGUAUUUGCACUUAGCAAAAGAUUUCAAAGUUAAGAGAAAAGUGCAUGAUUUCACUUUGUACAAAAGAAAAAAAGAAAAAAAAAUGAAGUAGAUGGUUAAAAGUUUUUCUUUACCUUUUGGUAGUAAAAAUAGAGGAACCAAGUCUGUUUAAACUACUGUGUAAAAAGACUGUAUCAUAUGUAACUUGACUUUUGUGUAAAUAAAUGUUUGUGAACGC